UCUUCCCGUGCCGGUAUCAGAUUCACGCUGGGUUGCUCUCAAAAGGGCAGGAGCCAUUUCAUAAGGCACAGGGGGCCUCGGUGCGUGGGUCGGUGCUGCGGAGCCAGGAGGGGCGGCGAGGGGGUCCCGAAGCUGCCCACGAACACCUCGCAGAGCAGUGCCGUGACCCGGGGAGCCCGGGCAGCGGCUGCCCCGCGUUGCGCAGGAUGUGCUGACGGCCGGCCUGCCGGUAGGAUUGUUUUCACCCACACGUGGUUAUUUUUAGCCCCAGCCCGUCCGGCUGCACGCCCGGCCCGGGGCUCUCGCCGUGCUGUUUGCACGCCCCCCUGCCGGCGGCGGGGAUGGAGCCGAAACCAGUGGUGCUGUCAGGAGGGGGCUGCUCCUCUUCGCGGCUCCCUGCUGGGACCUCACGGCCACUGGUGUCUGUCCGGCCCGUGGGGAUGGGCUCGUCUGUGCUGCUGUCUGCGUGGCCUUUGGCUUGUCCGUGCUGCUGUCUGCGUGGCCUUCAGCCGUGCGUCGCGGCCGCUUACGUCAGGGGAGAGCACGCACGGCGCUUCUGCUGAGCGGCCGCCUCAGGAACUGGUGCAUGGGAUCGCAGUGAACGCGGUGAGCGCCUCGAUGGUCCGAGCUGGUGUCGCUGAGCUUGCUCCUCUUCUCCUGUCCUCGCUGCCGGGCGCGUCGCUGGAGAUGCGGGGAAGGUGCAGGGGCUGUGCCGGGGGUGGCGGUGUCGUUCCUGGCUUCCUUGGCCGUGGCACCGCUCACCUGAGCUUUGUUAGGUUUCCACCUGCCCCGUCCCCUUCCAGCCACAGGGAAAUGGCAGCCUGCGCCCCUCUGAGCCUCGGUGUGCCCUCAGAGUGCUCUGUGGGAUCCCCUGUGUGUGUGGCAGGCUGUGCCUGCCCCCUUCUGCGUGUGCUCCUGGCGGCCCGGUGCCCAGCUCCAGUCCCUGCUCUGGCGUUGUUUGGGCAGGGGCUGAUCCAGGAGUGGAUUUACCUUGUUUCUCCUUCCUGCAGCAGCUGA
rnacentral:lncRNA from 1 species